rnacentral:rRNA from 1 species
GUGGGGAAUAUUGGACAAUGGGCGCAAGCCUGAUCCAGCCAUGCCGCGUGAGUGAUGAAGGCCUUAGGGUUGUAAAGCUCUUUCAGUGGGGACGAUAAUGACGGUACCCACAGAAGAAGCCCCGGCUAACUUCGUGCCAGCAGCCGCGGUAAUACGAAGGGGGCUAGCGUUGUUCGGAUUUACUGGGCGUAAAGCGCACGUAGGCGGAUCGUUAAGUCGGGGGUGGAAUCCUGGAGCUCAACUCCAGAACUGCCUUGGAUACUGGCGAUCUUGAAUCCGGAAGAGGUGAGUGGAACUCCUAGUGUAGAAGUGGAAUUCGUAGAUAUUAGGAAGAACACCAGUGGCGAAGGCGGCUCACUGGUCCGGUACUGACGCUGAGGUGCGAAAGCGUGGGGAGCAAACAGGAUUAGAUACCCGUGUAGUCC